CCCUUAGAUGUUCUGGGCCGCACGCGCGCUACACUGACGAAUGCAACGAGCUUAUAACCUUGGCCGAAAGGUCUGGGUAAUCUCCAAAUUUCGUCGUGAUGGGGAUAGAUUAUUGCAAUUACUAAUCUUCAACGAGGAAUGCCUAGUAAGCGCAAGUCAUCAGCUUGCGUUGAUUACGUCCCUGCCCUUUGUACACACCGCCCGUCGCUCCUACCGAUUGAAUGGUCCGGUGAAGCGUUCGGACCGUGGCCUUUGGACGGUUCGCCGUCUGUUGGCUGCGGGAAGUUCGUUAAACCUUAUCAUUUAGAGGAAGGAGAAGUCGUANCA
rnacentral:rRNA from 1 species